AUGAAAUUCGGUGGGGGGGAGGCAUGACCGGUUCCAGCAUGUUUGCCCUUGUCGAACUGACUCUCCCUGACUUAGGUCUCCACUCCUUUUCUCCCUUUCAUAGUUUGCUCCAGAGUGAUAUCAUUUUUUGUUCCAGAGUAAUAUGAUAUGAUAUGAUAUGACCAGUCAACACGAUAUUUUUUUUCAUUGACAAGAUUUCAUGUCUUCAGGAACUCAGCAUGCAACCAAUGAGAUGGACUCGAGGGCUUUGGGCUGAAGAUAACAGACCUCAAAAUACUCUCCUAACACUGAAGACACAUGUGGCCUGGAAGACUGUCUGGGGAGUGCCUGGGGCAGAGACAGACACACAGCGAGCCUGUUGGUUAUAGCAAAGAGUCAAGUGAGUCUGCUGCUUUCUUGACAUCCCACUAGCAGGUGCCCAUCAACCCCCUCCUCCCCUUUCCUCUCUUCUUCCGGUGUGUCUGGCCAAAUGUCAUUUUUUCCUACAAUCCCCAGAUAACCAUUUAAAUUAAAAUCUACAAACAAAUAAACAACAACAACAACAACAG